AUGACAAAAAAUUAUUUCAAAUAAUUGAGUUGUCCCAUGGCAAAUUGGCCAUGGUGAUUGGCUGCAGCAAGUUGUCCCAUUCUGUUGCAGAACAGGCGAGACAGCCAGGCAACCAAAGGUAUUUUAAUUCUACGAUCUGGCUGAAAGCUUGAUAUUCAUCCAGAAAAAAAAUCAAUAUUAUUUAGCUGCAGGGCCACUGCAUUCUUCCAUCACUAUAUCAUGAACUGGAAUAUUGAGACUGGCCUAUAAUUCUACACGUCUCCUGGGUCAAGAGGAUGUUUCUGCUAUAGAAUAAUCUUAUGAGUCUCCCAUUAGGCAGGGGGAGAUACCUUUAUACACUGGGGAAAGGUGCUGGCGGUCUACUGAGCUACAUUACUCACCGGAACUGAUUGAAACAAUUCAAUGUGCACUUUAUAUAAGGUGGCAAGUGAAAACUGGACUGUAGCCAUGGUUGACUUAUCCUGUUUACCUUAGAAGAAGGGAUAGACAGAUACCAUGCAUUAAAUACAUAAAAUGGAGGGUAUUUGCAGGCUAUUUGUCUCAAUCCACCUUUCUUUGCUAGGGACUAUUUUGGCCCUGAGGUGGCGGUUGAUAGAGAGGGUGACGGAAAGAACCUAUCAGAAAAUAGCAAUCUGAUGUAUUCAGAGCUGCCUACGGCUUUAAGAUCUACAUACUUUUUCCAUCAUGUACACAUGGAACUGCUCCUGUUGCAACAGGCAAUUUAAAUAAAUUCAUUUCUGUCCAA